UAGCAUAAUAAUAGUCGGAGUCACCUCUAGUGACCUAUACGACAUAUUGAUAUCUCAUAACAUAUCUCAUUAAUCAUGGCUAGCAUAUAAGUUGGAGUCACCUCUAGUGAUCUAUACGACAUAUUGAUAUCUCAUCACUUAUCUCAUCAAUUAACUAAUAUCGUAUAUUUACCUAAACUUACCUGAACUUACAUGUGUGUCCUGCGUUCACCUUUACACUUCAAAGCGUUCACAGUACCACAAUUAUAUAUAUAUAUAUAUAUGAAAACAAUUCAACUCAUCGUUUAAGCAUUAUUCAAUAGGCAUAGCAUUUUUAAAGCAUAAAUCAUUUAAUUGCAUUUUCUGGGAAACAUCAAGCGUGUAUAUAUAUACUUAAAACCAAAAGCCCACACACAUUGUUCAGUUCCUUAAACAAGGUUAUGGUCUUGAUUAUUUAAUCUCAUUUCUUAUAUGGCUGCAUCUAACGUCUCGUUAGACUGCCUAUGUACCCUAAGCAAGGAUUAAGCCAUUCGUAGUUCACAAUAAUCAUUUAAAGUAAUACGUAUAUGGAUAGAUCACGAUGAACUCUAACUCAACCAUCUCAUAGUAUUUAAUAACAUAUAUAUAUAUAUAUAUAUAUGUCAUGGCAUAAGUUUCUCAAUUCUAUUUAAAAGCAUUUAUAGAAUUAUCAAUCAUGAAACAUAAGAUGAGCAACGAAAGAUCCACUCACCUGGAGUCCGCGCUACAACUUCUUAGCAUAAGCAUCGAGGCAUCACAACGAUCGGCGAGUGUGACCAAUUAUUAAACCAUAUCUCAGAAUUCUUGUUGAUACAAUGCAUAACUUACAUCGCACAUAAGUCUACGUCAAUAGGUCCAGAAGAUCUACGAAUCAGAUCUCGGAUCCGUAACUUCCAAGGAUCCACAUUAUGCUUCUAAAAUAACAUACUAAAGUUUUGGAAUGAUCUAACGGUUGGAUCUCCACUGAUUGCCAAAACCAAGUGGUGGUUAACAUUUUAUUUUACGAACUUACAUAUCCAAUUCGAGAAGAUCCGUAAGUCGGAUUCCCAAUCCGUAAGUUCCUAUAUUCCUCAAAUAUUAUGACUAAUAACCUAUUAAAGUUUGAUGACGAUCCAACGGUCGGAUUGUCAAUUCAUAUAAUGGCCUACUAACGUAUCUUAGAGAAUUUUGGUUCUAAUGAUCAAUCUACGUCAUUCAAUUCUCAAAACUGAAUUCAAGGCAUUGUAU
rnacentral:lncRNA from 1 species